CAGAUGAGGAAACUGAGGCACAGAGAGGUCAAUUCGUCCACCCAAGGUCACGGAAAGACUGAGGCUGGCAGAGAUGGAGAUGGACAAACAGACAGAGAUGGACAGAUAAAGGGCAGGAGAGAAUUGGAAACAUAGUGAAAGAGGAGGCCUUAAAGAUAGGUACCAUGCAGCCUCGGCCACAGGCGACACGGAGCGUUGCUGAGGAGGGGAUGAUGUGAGGCCGCCCCCAGCCCGGGGCGUCCACUCUGACUGCACGACGGGAAGAGCGAGCCCCUCCUCCCUCCCACCCCCCGGGGGUGGCUGAACUCAAGAGAGCGUCAUAAAUCUCCCAGGCGCAGUGGAACGAGGCCGCCUGCUUAGGAAUGUCAUCCUCCCCAAGCCCCAGGGUGGCUCGGCCACGUUUUAGCGGGAAUGUCCAGCGCGGCCGCUAGAGAACUGGCCUGUGGAAGUCCAGAAACGCCUGUGCGCUGCGGGUAACACCGCUCCCCGUCUCACUCAACACCUAAAGCUACACCGGGACGGACUGUAUGACCCAGAGAGAGGUGUUUUCCUCCCUUAUUAGGGGCAACCGAGGAUUCAGUAGGAAAAGCCCCAUAAAGCCUGAUGUGGGCGUCUCCCCUCCCGGCUCCUGUCCCAGGGGAGAGAGGCCAGCCCCGCGUGGGGCAUCCUGGGGUCCACCCAGAACGGGAGGAUGGAGAGGGGGGGCCUUGGGGAGGGUUUACUGGAGAGAGAGGGUUGGAGCCCGCUCCAGGCUGGGGAGCCACGGAGGACGUGGUCUGACCACAGGCAAGAUGGGCGGUGGCCGUGGGGACUACGGUGGGGGCAUCUCCCAGCCUGUCUGCAGCAAUGGGGUCUGGGGGACCUCAGCAAAUGUCAGAGGAGCAGGAGUUAAGACAGCAGCCCCCAUGGACCAAAGGCUUGGACAUUGCCCCAUUUUUCUAGCACCAACUAAGCCCAGUUAUCUGUCAUCACUCCUCGGAGGAAGAUGGGGGACCCCCGAAAUGACUGGGACAUUCCCGUGAGGCGGAUUGAGACCUGCACCAUCCCAUACAGCAGCCACCAGCCACUGGGCACUUGAAACGUCGCAAGUGUGACCAAGGAACCGGCUUCUAAAUUUUUCUUAAUUGAAACUAAUUUCAAUGCAAACACUGUCACUCGAUCCCGUUAUUGGAAAAGUUUUAGGUACGUUUGGGACGAUCUGCGUCCGUGAAUCCACUCUUUCAACUCUGGGUUUUAUAGACUCUAACUAGAGAUCAAGUAUUUCCGACGGAAAUUUCCCCUUCGAAUGGAGACGCUGCUGUGGGUGUGAAACAGUCACUGGAUUUUCAAGACUUGGUCUAAAAACAGAAUGCAAACUCUCUUCUGGGUAAUUUUAGAUGGGUUCCCUGCUGGAAUGAUCAUAAUUUGGAUAUAUUGGGUUAAAAUAAAAUAUACUGCUAAAAUUAAAA
rnacentral:lncRNA from 1 species